AACGAACGCUGGCGGCAUGCCUAACACAUGCAAGUCGAACGAGAUCUUCGGGUCUAGUGGCGCACGGGUGCGUAACGCGUGGGAAUCUGCCCUUUGGUUCGGAAUAACAGUUGGAAACGACUGCUAAUACCGGAUGAUGACGAAAGUCCAAAGAUUUAUCGCCAGAGGAUGAGCCCGCGUAGGAUUAGCUAGUUGGUGUGGUAAGGGCGCACCAAGGCGACGAUCCUUAGCUGGUCGGAGAGGAUGAUCAGCCAAACUGGGACUGAGACACGGCCCAGACUCCUACGGGAGGCAGCAGUGGGGAAUAUUGGACAAUGGGCGAAAGCCUGAUCCAGCAAUGCCGCGUGAGUGAUGAAGGCCUUAGGGUUGUAAAGCUCUUUUACCCGGGAUGAUAAUGACAGUACCGGGAGAAUAAGCUCCGGCUAACUCCGUGCCAGCCGCCGCCGUAA
rnacentral:rRNA from 1 species